AAGUCGUAACAAGGUUUCCGUAGGUGAACCUGCGGAAGGAUCAUUACCGAGUUCGUGGGCGUUCCAACCGGACCCCAAACUCCCACCCUAUGUGUACCUCAACCUCGUUGCUUUGGCGGGCCUGCGCGCCCUCAGAAAGCGCGCUGCCGGCUCCGCUGGCUCGUGCCCGCCAGAGGACCUUCAAACCCCUGUUUUUAUCAGUGCCGUCUGAGUGUAAAACUUAAUACGUUUAAAACUUUCAACAACGGAUCUCUUGGUUCUG
rnacentral:misc_RNA from 1 species